GACGAACGCUGGCGGCGUGCCUAAUACAUGCAAGUAGAACGCUGAAGGAGGAGCUUGCUCUUCUGGAUGAGUUGCGAACGGGUGAGUAACGCGUAGGUAACCUGCCUGGUAGCGGGGGAUAACUAUUGGAAACGAUAGCUAAUACCGCAUAAGAGUAGAUGUUGCAUGACAUUUACUUAAAAGGUGCAAUUGCAUCACUACCAGAUGGACCUGCGUUGUAUUAGCUAGUUGGUGGGGUAACGGCUCACCAAGGCGACGAUACAUAGCCGACCUGAGA
rnacentral:rRNA from 1 species